rnacentral:rRNA from 1 species
CCCUAGUAACGGCGAGUGAAGCGGGAUGAGCUCAAGCUUAAAAUCUCCAUAGGAGUUUCCUGUGGCGAAUUGUAGUCUAUAGAGGCGCUGUCAGUGCGGCUGUUCGGGAUAAGUCUCUUGGAAAAGAGCAGCAUGGAGGGUGAUACUCCCGUUCUUGCCUGAGCAGCUUGCGCGUACGACACGUUUUCUUUGAGUCGCGUUGUUUGGGAAUGCAGCGCAAAGUGGGUGGUAAAUUCCAUCUAAAGCUAAAUAUUGGUGCGAGACCGAUAGCGAACAAGUACCGUGAGGGAAAGAUGAAAAGAACUUUGAAAAGAGAGUUAAAGAGUACCUGAAACUGCUGAAAGGGAACCGAAUCGUUUCCAGUGUCUAUAAUCCGUAGCAUAUUUCAUUGGCGAGUGGAUGCGUGCAGUGUUUUGACAGCGGCUUGCUGCGUCAUGCAUUGUUCUGCGUUUACUUGCUGGUGCCCUGUGUUGCGGUGGGACGUCAGAGUCAGUUCGUAUGCUGCGGGAAAUGGUCAUCGAGGAGGUAGGUGCUUGCACUGUUAUAUCUCGGUUGACUAGUCGUCGUGGUUGGGACUGAGGUGCCUACAAUGUGCUUUAACGUCUUGCGGGCGCUUAUCUGAUCAACUGCUCUGAUAGCUUGCUAUGUUUGCGGUCUGGUCGGGUGAUUGUGUUUGUAAGUAACGUUUGCCGUUCGGGA